rnacentral:tRNA from 1 species
AAUUGGGGGCAUAGCUCAGUUGGGAGAGCAUCUGCUUUGCAAGCAGAGGGUCGUCGGUUCGAUCCCGUCUGCCUCCACCAUUA